UCUGAUUCAGCGGCGGACGGGUGAGUAAUGCCUAGGAAUCUGCCUGAUAGUGGGGGACAACGUUUCGAAAGGAACGCUAAUACCGCAUACGUCCUACGGGAGAAAGCAGGGGACCUUCGGGCCUUGCGCUAUCAGAUGAGCCUAGGUCGGAUUAGCUAGUUGGUGAGGUAACGGCUCACCAAGGCGACGAUCCGUAACUGGUCUGAGAGGAUGAUCAGUCACACUGGAACUGAGACACGGUCCAGACUCCUACGGGAGGCAGCAGUGGGGAAUAUUGGACAAUGGGCGAAAGCCUGAUCCAGCCAUGCCGCGUGUGUGAAGAAGGUCUUCGGAUUGUAAAGCACUUUAAGUUGGGAGGAAGGGCAUUAACCUAAUACGUUAGUGUUUUGACGUUACCGACAGAAUAAGCACCGGCUAACUUCGUGCCAGCAGCCGCGGUAAUACGAAGGGUGCAAGCGUUAAUCGGAAUUACUGGGCGUAAAGCGCGCGUAGGUGGUUUGUUAAGUUGAAUGUGAAAGCCCCGGGCUCAACCUGGGAACUGCAUCCAAAACUGGCAAGCUAGAGUAUGGCAGAGGGUGGUGGAAUUUCCUGUGUAGCGGU
rnacentral:rRNA from 1 species